UCGCCGGCGCCUCUCCCUAGCUCGUGUUGCCGGUGCCUCUCCCUUGCCCGCGUCGCCGGUGCCUCUCCAUUGCCUCCGUCGUCGGUUCCAAGAUCUCAUUUUUAUUCUCCGGUGGCUGAUUUCGAGUGCUUCGGCUCGAUCUGCAACGGCCUUCCUCCACUCCAACGCCGUGCGAAGCACCAGAACGAUGCCAUGGAAGGGCCACCAUGAGCAGGAGCAGGACAACGCCUUGGAAGGUUCACCGACAGGAGCAACUACGUACGGUCUGAUCUUCUCCACUGACAGGGAUAUCGACAUGGAGGUCCGCCAUGGAAGGCCUGGAGCUCGUCAUGGAGGGGCCCUCCUCUCUCUUCCCCUCCCUCUACUCUGUUGGUUGGUUGGACGGAAGACCACCGCUCGUCCAGCUCUGCUUCUUCCACCGUUGCUCCCCUCCCACCAUAGUGCCACAGACGCUAUGCCAAGCACGGAAGAAAUCUUUGGAGUUCCUUCUUCAGAAACUUUUAUUCUGGCGCAGUUUGUACAGAUUUUUAUGUACAGUACGCAAAGUCAUAUGACUGCUGAAAAUGGACCGUCGUGUAUGCAUGUACAAGGUUGGGGGAGGCACGGUCAGCGUUGGUGUAUUUUCAGUUUGUACUGUCAUAAUUUUCAGUUUGUAAAACUGAGAAGUGUAUUUUUCCAUUUUAAAACCGAGAUCUGCUUGCACUAUCAUACAGUAAUUUUCAGUUUGUAGAUGACUUUAAUUGAUGGGUUUCUUCUCUAGAAUUAGAUUCGGGGAGCCGCCUCGAUCCAGAGUACUCGCAAUCCAUUAUAGGGCAGUUCAAAUCCUGCCUCUGGAAGCAUUGGUUGACCUAUUGGCACAACCCAGAUUACAACCUUGUGAGAUUUUCCUUCACUUUGUUCACAGCCUUGCUGCUUGGCUCCAUCCUUUGGAAGAUUGGCACCAUUAUGGGUGGAUGCCAAUACUCUUAGAAUGGUCAUUGGAGCAAUAUACACAACAGUGAUGUUUGUCCCCAUCAACAACUGUGCAACUGCUCAACCAAUUGUUUUAAUCGAGAGAACAGUUUGUACAGAGAGAGGGCUGCUCCAUUGCUCAGCUACUUAUGCAGCGAGGGUACAGGUUGUUCUAGAUGGCUCUGUAGACAGUGAGAAUGAGGAGACUCAAACCCAUGAAGAUUCUAAUGAGGAAAUCGAUUAUGAUAAAUAACAACACAGAUCAGCAGAGAUGAAUCGGCUUCCACCGGAUCCUUAGCUGGUGUAGCCUCAAUUGCUUGCUCAGGAAGAUUGCUUAGCAUGACGUGCAGCCUCCCGCGGCAGUAGUUCAACUCCUGCACAAUGACACAAAAGGCAUAGACCGUCAGAACACAGUCCAAUGGUUUCUAGACCUGGCGUACAUCAGCGCCUCCAUGGCUGCUGAACAGGAUGAAGAGGAGCGCUGGAGGAGGACC